rnacentral:rRNA from 1 species
CUUUAUUGGAGAGUUUGAUCCUGGCUCAGGACGAACGCUGGCGGCAUGCCUAAUACAUGCAAGUCGAGCGGAGUUGAUAGGAAGCUUGCUUCCUUGAUACUUAGCGGCGGACGGGUGAGUAACACGUAGGCAACCUGCCCUCAAGUUUGGGACAACUACCGGAAACGGUAGCUAAUACCGAAUAAUUGUUUUCUUCGCCUGAAGGAAACUGGAAAGACGGAGCAAUCUGUCACUUGGGGAUGGGCCUGCGGCGCAUUAGCUAGUUGGUGGGGUAACGGCUCACCAAGGCGACGAUGCGUAG